GCCCAGGUGGCGGAAUUGGUAGACGCGCUGGUUUCAGGUACCAGUGGCCGAAAGGCCUUGGAAGUUCGAGUCUUCUCCUGGGCACCA
rnacentral:tRNA from 1 species